GCUGGAAUAGCUCAGUUGGUAGAGUACCUCACUCGUAAUGAGGGGGUCGCGAGUUCGAGUCUCGCUUCCAGCACCA
rnacentral:tRNA from 1 species